GUAUAGGACUGAGGUGUAGAUUGUUCUGUAAAAACAUGUAGAUAUGCACAUAUAGUGACUGUUAGAGUGGUUAUAGAUUUAAAUAAACUAUUUUGAAAGUGAAGUGGAGGACGUGAAGACCAGUUAAGUUAAAAUGGCCGAGUCCAGAGUUCAUAAGUUUAAACUCACCUCAGAAGACUUUGUGUGGGCUGAUGUUGGUGAAGAGGUCACCCUCCCCUGUCACCUCUCACCUGACACCAGUGCUGUUGCCACGACAAUCAGGUGGUUUAAUGGGACAGAGUGUAUUUACCGGUAUAAGAAUGGCCAGGUGACAGAGAGGAGUGGCUAUGAGGGCAGAGUGAGUCUGAUCACCCAGGAGCUGGAGACAGGCAACGUGUCUCUGAGGCUGAGAGACUGCAGGAAGUCAGAUACAGGAGACUACAUCUGUCAGGUCAUCCAUGGAGAACAGAAGGAGGAGGCUGCAGUGGGUUUAUGGGACAU